rnacentral:rRNA from 1 species
CCUACGGGAGGCAGCAGUGGGGAAUUUUGGACAAUGGGCGAAAGCCUGAUCCAGCAAUGCCGCGUGAGUGAAGAAGGCCUUCGGGUUGUAAAGCUCUUUUGUCAGGGAAGAAACGGUGAGAGCUAAUAUCUCUUGCUAAUGACGGUACCUGAAGAAUAAGCACCGGCUAACUACGUGCCAGCAGCCGCGGUAAUACGUAGGGUGCAAGCGUUAAUCGGAAUUACUGAGCGUAAAGCGUGCGCAGGCGGUUUUGUAAGUCUGAUGUGAAAUCCCCGGGCUCAACCUGGGAAUUGCAUUGGAGACUGCAAGGCUAGAAUCUGGCAGAGGGGGGUAGAAUUCCACGUGUAGCAGUGAAAUGCGUAGAUAUGUGGAGGAACACCGAUGGCGAAGGCAGCCCCCUGGGUCAAGAUUGACGCUCAUGCACGAAAGCGUGGGGAGCAAACAGGAUUAGAUACCCUGGUAGUCCACGCCCUAAACGAUGUCUACUAGUUGUCGGGUCUUAAUUGACUUGGUAACGCAGCUAACGCGUGAAGUAGACCGCCUGGGGAGUUCGGUUCGCAGNUUAAACGUUAAGGAUUGACGGCGNGAGAGNGCGAGACGACGACGAGGAGGAGG